AAAAAUUAAAAGCAAUUUUAGUUUUAUGCAACAGCAAGAAGUCAGCAGAGUUCGUAGUACCGAUAAACGUUAUAAUCGUAAAUUAAAAGCGCCUAUCGGGAAGGAA
rfam:Candidatus Staskawiczbacteria bacterium RIFOXYA12_FTLL_37_10 rifixya3_full_scaffold_619, whole genome shotgun sequence.